GGGGUUGUGGCUCAGUGGUAGAGCACUCGCCUAGCAUGUGUGAGGCACUGGGUUCAAUCUCCAAUACCA
rnacentral:tRNA from 1 species